UACAGAGGAUGCAAGCGUUAUCCGGAAUGAUUGGGCGUAAAGCGUCUGUGGGUGGCUUUUUAAGUCCGCCGUCAAAUCCCAGGGCUCAACUCUGGACAGGCGGUGGAAACUACCAAGCUGGAGUACGGUAGGGGCAGAGGGAAUUUCCGGUGGAGCGGUGAAAUGCGUAGAUAUCGGAAGGAACACCUGUGGCGAAAGCGGCUCACUGGACCAUUACUGACGCUGAGGCACGAAAGCUAGGGGAGCAAACAGG
rnacentral:rRNA from 1 species